CAAGAUGGUGCUGAUGGCUGGCUGGCUGGACAUAUUAUUUGGCUUUGACAGACACCAGACAUGAGGACUUCUUAUGCAGUCAGGCAUGCAAACUAUGCAUACUCAAUAAGGGAUCAGCCAGAGGCCUGCAAUACCUAUGAGACCUUGCUACAUGAGCACUGCAGAGAAACUGCCAAGCAGAUUUUGGAAACAUAACUAUAGCCCAUAAUUGGAUGAGUCUAGAAGAUCCUGAUCAUUGGCUCAAACUCAGGCAUUGGGGAAUUUCAACCAGUGCGCUUCCUGGAUGCCCCAGGGACAAGUUUUUUGCUGGAAUAUCUAUUCUACACUGCACAAUACAUGGCAGGCACUUAGGAUCAAUGUCCUUUUGCAUCUACUGCAUGUGCAAGCUGGAUUAGAGACAAGUUAACACUUGUUUGAUAUUAUCAUUUGUGUUAUCAUCAUAUGGUGUACAGUUGAGAAAGUACCUAAAAUUAUUCUCUUAACACCUGGCAUUUUCUGGCAGAGUAAAAUGUUGAAUUUGGCUAUUACAAGAGCUGCACAGAGAAAUUUUACAUGCAUUCAGAAGCUUGACUAAAGAUACAUGAUCUGAAAAGUCUUUGGUUCAUGGUACUGUAUCUGUGGCCCAAGAGGAAAACCUGGAGAGAAAAAAAAAAAAAAAAGAAAUUUUGAAGAAAUAGUUUUGGAACUUCAAAGAUGAUAACUACAGAUUUCAAUUUGUCUGCAGAAUGAAUUCAAGUAAACAGAAAUGUAGUAAUAAUAAGAACUGAAAAAGGCGUAGUAUAUUAAAAUGAAUCAGCAUUGAACAUUGGCUGUUAUCGCUCAGAAACGGACAAAAGCAGUGACUGGUGAAAACAGAAAGCUAGGUUUACAGAUAAGAUUAAGAAGUCAGUACAAAUGUAUUGCUUUUGGAUUAAAAGUAAACACGCAACAUUUGUAAUCAACUGAAGACAAACUAAACAUGGUGCUCCUUACUGGGAAGGAGCUGAAUUCAUUGAUUCACUUGAUUACACACUCUCAGAGACACUAAUAAUUCCUAGCUCACAAGUGUCAGGUCACAGAUGUUUUUUUUUUUCCAAUACUUCUAUCAUUCACAUUCACAAACAUACACAUUUGUUUUCUAAAUUAAAAACUCCUUUCUGGCAAAGUUAGUGCUGAAGAGAGAAAGCAUAAUUUUUCAUUUUAAAGUCUGAUAGGAAUCCAGUUAAG
rnacentral:lncRNA from 1 species